rnacentral:lncRNA from 1 species
AAAGAAAUCAAAUGCGUCAAAGAAGGUUGUCAACUGAACUUGAAAAUAUUCACUCAAGACUAGAAGGUAGCCUAUGUUUGCUUGAACACGAAGUAAAAGAAAUAAAAAAAGACCAGGACAAACAAGACGAACCCGAUCCGGACUUCGAUUUCGUACUUUAAGAAAAAAUCAGAAAAAUAACAAUAUGGGUGAUUCCAGAAGAAGAGCCAGUAGUUUUAGCAUCAGUGAAUCUAAAACUAACAUUGAUGGUCCCCGAAAACCCAAUUUACAUGAAAGACGAGGGAGUAUUUCAAAAAUACACAAAAUAGAAUCUCCUGUUGCGCAAUAUAUUACAAGUCCUUUGGUUCCAUCUUAUGCUAAAACGAGAUGAAUGUCUCUCCCAGCGAAUGUAUUUCACUCGCAUGAACCUUUCAUAGGAUUACAUGGUUCUACAUCAAACAAUCCAGGGGUAAACAAAGGGAGUGAUACCAGUUUAAAAGGCAGCCAUAGUGAUGUGAGAAGGUCACGUGACAGUAUAAGAUCACGUGAUAGUUCACCGGAAAUGGAAAAAUACGAACGUCAGAUGAUACGUUUAAAACGCGAGUUAAACCAAAGGAUACCCAAAACCAUUAAAUACCACUAACGUCUACCGAGGAGCGUCAUAUCAUAACGUAUAUAAAAGAGGAAGAACACAAACAAAUGACAAAUCGGAAAAAUGCCGAAAUUCUCGAAGGAAUUCAAAAGUGCACCUAUCUAAGGACGAAAAAUCCUACAGAAUUGUCGGUUGAGGAAAUGUUAGACAGAUCACCUGACUAAUCAAAUAGGUCAUAGACUAAAAGUUCUAAUCAUAGACAUCAUAAUUUAUUUUGAAUUUCACAUUAAGAGAUAUUUACAUAUCAACUAA